rnacentral:rRNA from 1 species
CCUACGGGUGGCAGCAGUGAGGAAUAUUGGUCAAUGGACGAGAGUCUGAACCAGCCAAGUAGCGUGAAGGAUGACUGCCCUAUGGGUUGUAAACUUCUUUUAUAUGGGAAUAAAACGUUCCACGUGUGGGAUUUUGUAUGUACCAUAUGAAUAAGGAUCGGCUAACCCCGUGCCAGCAGCCGCGGUAAUAUGGAGGAUCCGAGCGUUAUCCGGUUUUAUUGGGUUUAAAGGGAGCGUAGGUGGAUUGUUAAGUCAGUUGUGAAAGUUUGCGGCUCAACCGUAAAAUUGCAGUUGAAACUGGCAGUCUUGAGUACAGUAGAGGUGGGCGGAAAUCGUGGUGUAGCGGUGAAAUGCUUAGAUAUCACGAAGAACUCCGAUUGCGAAGGCAGUUCACUGGACUGCAACUGACACUGAGGCUCGAAAGUGUGGGUAUCAAACAGGAUUAGAUACCCUAGUAGUC